ACAAGAUAGUUAGUCCAAUUUAAUCUGUUGACAAAACCCCAUGCAUGAACUAGUAUAGGACUUAAAGGGAAAAAAAGUGAUGUGAAAAAGUUUUUGUUUAUCCCUAGACUCUUUAUGGAGAGGGUGGGGAGAGGCAAGAAUUAAAUUUCCUUGAGAUUAAUUGCCUUACACACAUUCUUCUGACGUUGCAAGACUGAGAAAGAGGAAGAAAAAAAGGGAGCUAUGACUGUGGUUAUAUUCUAAAAGAGGGUUUUAGAGAGGGAGAAGAGGACACAGAAGCAAGCUGAUUUGACCAGAAUCAGAACUUCCCAUGACAGAUUAAGCAACAAGCAAAGCUUGGAGUCUGAGAGCAAGGAAAGAGUGGAAAUUUACAGCUGCUUUGCGUGAGUGUUCAAGUGAUCAUUUUCUGCUAAUGUUCCAAGUUUUCCUGUGGUAACUUUGACUCUUCAAAGAGGUAAGCAGAAAAUAAGGACAGGAUUGUGGAAACUUCUCUGUCACACUUUGGUAACAGGAAACAUCCUCUAUUGAAUGGAAGAUAAAGGCUAUUUCAUCUAAAGUCCUUGAGCCCCAGAGAGCUGUCUUCAGCACCUCAUCAUAUGUCUACUUUUUGUUGCUUAGACGAGCCUGGGCAUUUCUGUAAGAUUUGCAUUCCAUAUUGGAACAAGUGAUUUCUAUAGAUGAAAAAAAUGCCUUUGUUUAGUAAAUCACAUAAAAAUCCAGCAGAAAUUGUGAAAAUUCUGAAAGACAACUUAGCCAUUUUGGAAAAGCAAGACAAAAAGACAGAAAAGGCUUCAGAAGAAGUGUCGAAAUCACUGCAAGUAAUGAAAGAAAUUCUGUGUGGUGCAAAUGACAAAGAAAACCCAAUGGAGGCUGUGGCUCACCUAGCACAAGAACUCUACAAUAGUGGGCUGCUGGUGACACUGAUAGCUGACCUACAACUGAUAGACUUUGA